CCUACGGGGUGCUGCAGUGGGGAAUAUUGCGCAAUGGGCGAAAGCCUGACGCAGCGACGCCGCGUGAGGGAUGAAGUUCUUCGGAUCGUAAACCUCUGUCAGCAGGGAAGAACGGUCACUGUGCUAAUCAGCAGUGAAUUGACGGUACCUGCAAAGGAAGCACCGGCUAACUCCGUGCCAGCAGCCGCGGUAAUACGGAGGGUGCGAGCGUUAAUCGGAAUUACUGGGCGUAAAGCGCUCGUAGGCGGUAUGUCAAGUCACGGGUGAAAUCCCCGGGCUCAACGUGGGAACUGCCGUUGAAACUGGCAGACUGGAGUGUGUGAGAGGAUAGUGGAAUUCCAGGUGUAGGAGUGAAAUCCGUAGAUAUCAGGAGGAACAUCAGUGGCGAAGGCGACUAUCUGGCACAUAACUGACGCUGAGGAGCGAAAGCGUGGGUAGCAAACAGGAUUAGAUACCCUAGUAGUC
rnacentral:rRNA from 1 species